GAAGGUACAGUUCAAGUGAUAGAGUGCAUACUUAGCAUGCAUGAGGUCCUGGGUUCAAUCCUCAGUACCUCCU
rnacentral:tRNA from 1 species